CAGCCGUAAACAAUGUGCGUUAGGUGUGUCGGUAACCACGCGUUACUGAUGCGCCGAAGAGAAAUCGUGAAACGCACCACCUGGGAAGUACGGUCGCAAGGCUGAAACUUAAAGGAAUUGGCGGGGGAGGCACCACAACAGGUGGAGCCUGCGGUUUAAUUGGAUUCAACGCCGGACAUCUCACCGGAUAAGACAGCUGAAUGAUUGUCAAUCUGAAGGUUUUACAUGACUAGCUGAGAGGUGGUGCAUGGCGUCAGUGACU
rnacentral:rRNA from 1 species